rnacentral:rRNA from 1 species
GACGAACGCUGGCGGCGUGCCUAACACAUGCAAGUCGAACGGUAAGGCCCUUCGGGGUUCACGAGUGGCGAACGGGUGAGUAACACGUGGGUGAUCUGCCCUGCACUUCGGGAUAAGCCUGGGAAACUGGGUCUAAUACCGGAUAGGACCACUGCCUGCAUGGGUGGUGGGGGAAAGCUUUGGCGGUGUGGGAUGGGCCCGCGGCCUAUCAGCUUGUUGGUGGGGUGAUGGCCUACCAGGGCGACGACGGGUAGCCGGCCUGAGAGGGUGACCGGCCACACUGGGACUGAGAUACGGCCCAGACUCCUACGGGAGGCAGCAGUGGGGAAUAUUGCACAAUGGGCGCAAGCCUGAUGCAGCGACGCCGCGUGAGGGAUGACGGCCUUCGGGUUGUAAACCUCUUUCAGCACCGACGAAGCGCAAGUGACGGUAGGUGCAGAAGAAGGACCGGCCAACUACGUGCCAGCAGCCGCGGUAA